rnacentral:lncRNA from 1 species
UCGGAAGUACACCACCUCAUCACCAUACUGUGGGAUGUAGCGCGUCCGCUCCACCUCUCUCAAGAGUAACCAGGACACGUUGCUCGGACUCCGAUGCACCGUGCUGAGGUUUCUCCUCACGUGGAAAUCCUUGUACCUCGACCCCACGUUCUUAUGCAGCUUCACUUUAAGUCUGCUCGAAGUUCUUCUUUCGGGCUUUCGGCGUCCAUUGUCGUCGCUGCUUCUAUCCCAGUCCGAGUCGUCGUAAGACGAGCUAGCUUCCCAGUGUGAGGGACGGCCGACGUUUCUCCUGCUUCUUGUGGACCUGCUGUUGGAGAGACUAACCACGCGACCCUGCGCCAGCCGUGUACUUCUCCUGCGGCCACCUGAAGCGUGCUCGUCGGCCUCAUAACACUCGGUCUGAGUCGCAACUUUGCGAGGCCUUCUCCUUGAGUAGACAGCCUUGUUCAUAUUGCGCUUCAUUUGUAUAUCGUCCACGUCCAGGUCCUCACUUGCCUGCUCUUCCUCGGGCUUGUAAGCAUCCUCCAGCGACUCACUGUUACUGCCUGGUGAAACCUCUUCGUGGUAAUCAGGGUCAUUGUCACCAUCUGGAGCUUCUCCAUUCUGUAAGGACUCAUUGCUCAGAAGAGUGUGAUUCUGCUCUCGUCUCUGCUGUUCGUCAAGGUAGUCAGCUGAAAGAGACCUCUCCGACUCGGACUCGCUAAUGAUCGCCCUUGCCACCACCUUUGUGUCUCCAUUUUCUACACGAGUCGCUUCAAGGCCUUUCUUGGUAUCACAAGGAACGUCUACCAGUUUAUCCUCUUCGGAGCUGCUGCUGCUGUGAUAAGGCAUGCGAGCACGCUUGGCUGCUUUCCCCUUCUUCCAUAUGUAUCCCUGUUUGUCGUCAGACGAAACAGCUUCAGUGGGAUUCUCGUCCGCGAUAAAACCAUCUGUUUCUGGAUGACUGUCAUUAGCCUCGGCCACGGGGACCUUAGAAGUGCCUUGUUCUGGUAUUUCGAGGCUCCGAAAAGUAUCCUCGUUGUUGGACGUUUGUGCACAGUUUCUCAACUUGAGUACUAACUUUCGCUGAGACCUUGGCCGCCUGCAUUCACCCACGUCCGAAGUCUCUGCGGGACUCUUCUUCGGAGGUUCAUCGUCUUCAGGUUCCUGAGUUUCUGUAAGAACUUUCCCGUUGCGUAGAAGCCUCUGGUUCUCGUUCUCUCCAGAUGUACCAGGUCUUUUGGCAUCCUCAGCGGCCAGGCGGCGUGCUUCGUCGUCUUCAUACUCAUGUAAGCUCGAAAACAUGGUCAACGCAUUCCGAGCUGCCAUCCUCAUAGGCCUCAAUGCAUGGUCCGGGUUUGACUUUCUUAUCCGCUUUCUAGACCUCAGCCUCUGCGUUUCCUCAGGCAUCAAAAGAGCAUUGUUUGACUCCUCCAAGCGCCUGCGCUUUUGCUUCCUCACCAAGGUUGCGAGUAUCUGUAGUGGACAAUCACCAUUGAAGUUAUCAGAGACGCAAAAGCUGGACGUACGUACCUCUCUCUUCUUUUUCCUUGUUCUUCGGUUACGAACCCCAUCAGAAUCAAUUUCGUCAAUUUCUUUGUCGGUUGUUUCCGAUUCACAGAUCGUACCACUUUCUUCAUUUCCAUCCUCGUCACUCGAGCUUUCUUCGCUCGCGCAGUAAUCAGAACCAGAAUCGUCACUCAAUCCAGUGACUUCUUCAUCCCAGUCCAUUGCCUCACCAUCCGCCGGUUGUUCUACCCAUCUGUUGCCUUGCUCGUUUGUUUGCUCGAUUGCUUGUAGAGCGGCAACUACUGCUUGAGGCUGAUCUUGAGGAAUGAACGCUGGAUCAUCAAACGUUCCCACUGCGAGCUGAACUGAUGGUGGUUGCCAGUAGCAACCUAGGAGUCCCAGACGACGUUGCUGGUACGAACUUUGAUAAGGUUCUGGAUAGGGAAUCAAGCCUGAAAAUGAAACAGAAAAAUAAGUUGGACGAGGUGAGAAGUCACCAGCUUACUUGCAUCGCACAAGAGAUCUUGAAGAUUCCUUUGAUGAGGAGGCAACUGAGUUUCCUGUAAAAGAAAGAUACUCAGUUUUUGCAAGAACAAUACCGGAAAAGAACAACACUCAGGACUAAAACUAAAUAAAAGCACUUACAUCAUUUUAUUUACCUGAUCGAGAACGUUUCCACGAGUAUCUCGAACAAGAGGCCGAUAAUCUCCAAGAAAAAGCUACACAGAACCCGAAAAACAAACAAACGCUGUUAGGAGAAGGAUAUGAAGCUAAUCUUCCUGAUACCUGGUCGUAUUUCGCAUCUUCGUCGUCUUGACUUGGGUAGAAAAAAGGUAGACCUGGCCGACCUCAUCGGAAACAACCAAUGAGGUUCCAUCCCUGAAAAUUGGCAAACAUGAGAACAGUAUAUGGACAUGAGAACAAGCUUACGGUGAAAAGUUGCCAUCGACAAGAUUAUAAUCUCCCGUCUCAAAUGUCCUUACUGGACGGCCCUCCCAGAUCUAAAACAAAAUUCGUGAUCAUUUUUUUUGAGAGAAUACACUUACAUCCCACACAAUAACUCGGCCAUUGUAGCCCGCACUCAUUGCAAUGCGAGGAUUGCAUGGAUGUACAUCUAGCACGUAAGUCUAAAUAAUAGAUGUUAAGAAAGAAUGGAAUCAAUAAAUUCCAUUUCAAUACCUGCUUGGUAUGGCCGGUUAAACAGUGCACCAGACUGCCAUCAACCGCAUUCCAGACACAUAUCCGGCAAUCUGCACAUCCAUGUUAUUCCAUAAAAUUAGUUCGUGAGGUAUCUUACCCAUAAUCGCGGCGAGUACAAAACGAUUGUCCAAACUCCAGACUAUCAUAUUAACACCUCGAGGAGUUGGAAGCAGUUUUUGUUGAGGUCCACCAGUUCGAACGGGAGGCUGUGGCAUCGGAGGGGGCGGUACUUUCAAAUGAUAAGCCUUUACCCAUCGACCUAGCUUCAGCUGGAGGAAAGAGGAGCAGUCAUGGCAUUAGUUACACAGAAAGAAAGGCCAUGCACACCUGUUUUCUAGGACGAGGAGACCAGAUAAUAGCAGUGCCGUCUCUUGAGCAAGUAACUAUGCUAUCUUGAGGAAACCUGAACAAAACCAACGUUAAAACCAGAUAGCAAUGAGCGGCACAGUAUACCAGGUUGUUUUGAACUUCGGUAUGUUGUCAGGGACGUUGUCAUCCUUCAAAAAGUCGACGGGAGAAACUUUGAUUGGCUCUGCACAACCACUGGAACAAAGGACGAUUGAUGUCAACGAGGACCAAGCCAAAGAGGCGAACCUGAACUGCACGUAGUUAACUACAUUCUCGUGUCCACUAAGAAUGUCAUGCUCAUGAUUUGGCCUUCCGGUGUACUCGUCCGCCCACUUUCUUGCGUUCCAAACCUGUUCUAACAAUUGUUAGAAAUAUAAAAAGUUCACUUUAAAUGCUUACCCUGGCAAGCUUGUCCGAACUCCCAGUGACAAAGUAUGAGCCAUCUGCAUUAAACGCACAGCACUGAAUCUGAUUCGUAGCCUGUGCUCGAUUCUCAGCUCCUGCAGCUGGAAACAAGCUUUUAGAAAACCGAAAAAACAUCGGCAGACUCUUUACAUUCGGGUUUGACAUCCGGCUUCGGCAUGUAGACACGUGAAUUUACAGAAGAAUCCCGAGCAUCCCAAAUACGGCAUGUUCCGUCUUCAGACGAACUUGAAACCACGAGAUUUUAAUACAACUAAAGUGGAAAGAGCAAAUUAUUAACACUUACGAUAGAAGAUGGUGCUCACAGCCCGGUCGGGGACUAAAUUUGAUGGCCGUUACGCCCGCCGUGUGGCCACGAAGUAUUGCAACCGGAACACCAUCUGGUAAUCCCCACUAUAGGCAGAAGCGAAAUGAGUCAAAACAAAAAACAAAAGCAGAAUACUUACAACACAGAUGGAGGAAUCGUUAGAAGCUGAUGCAACUCUAGUGUUCGAACUACUUACAGACAAAUCGGUUAUAUCCCCCUAAAAGCCAGGUUUUAGGCACAAUAUUCGAAACGGAUGCAGAAAAUAGUAUCUCGUGUCCUCUACAGCUACGAAGGCAAAGUCUAUUUUCUACGGACCAUAUCUUCACAAGCCGGUCGUCCGAGCCAGUGACAAGAUACCGUCCAGUACGAUCAAAAACGGCUGCACGUUUAUCGCUUCGUUAAUAGGUCUUGAAAACCAAAAAGAAAAGAAACACGUACCACAAUAUACCGCAUUACGAUGACCCCUUAGCACCUGGAUGAUUCUUAUUCUGUUCACCAGUACAGAAGGCUUGAUGAUAACAUGUUUCACAGUCUGUGAUGCUUUGCAAAUCCACCACCAAGUUCAUGGAACGCGGGAGCAUGAACUUGGUCAGCUUGCCAAUGCGGCCAUCGCAUUUGUUCUAUUCUCUUGGUAGAGAUACUAGUAGCAUUGCUUUGCUCCGCUGUAUGAAGUUUGCUCGGAUCAGCAACGGCAAGAUUCGAAAGGUACACGGCUUACAUUCCAAAAGCGAGAAUGCUCCUGACCCCAAAAGUGUAGGAACGUCCGCGGCGGUCAAUUGCUUGGGAACUUUCGCAUCAAGCAAGGACGCGGACGUGUCGUGAACAAGUAGUUGCUGCAAGAGCUUAACCAAGUGGUUGUUGUCAACGUUCUUAUAUCUGAAAAUCGAAAAAUAAAAAUAAAAAAUCCAUCCUUUUGUCAGCAAGACAAAUCCUAAGAAAGAAAGAACUUGGCGACACACAAUACCUCUCGGCAACUUGCGCGUAGCUGAGUGGGAACGACAAACCAUCGUCAUUCUCGUCGGCGGGUGGCGUUCCAUUCCUGAUGGUACCUCUGGGGCAAGAGCUUGUGCUGUAGGAGCUCGUUCCAGAGCUGGUCAGUGGCUCUCUCGUAAGGGCCUCUCCUCAGGAAGUGCAUGAUAACUUCCGCAACUCGAUCUCCUCGUCUUGUUCAUGCAGGUGAUGAUCAGCUCCAACAUCAGACCGUAAAGCCACCUACGUUAGUCAGUCUGCACGAGAGGUUAGCUAAGCUGCAUGAAGAUUGCACCCGAGUCUACUUGAAGACAGAAAACUUGAAAGCUUCGAUUCAAUGUUCCGUUACCAUACAAAGCAUUUGAACCCAGUGACUAUAUGCGAUAUCCGCAGCUCCAAAGGACCUCCUGAAUAAAUAGUCUCCUGAAUAAAUAGUUACACUCAUCCACCUACAAGGAAGUACCAAUUAGACAAUGCCAGGCCACGUUCAUGUCUAUGUUCUUGCCCGGAAAAAGACUUACUAUCAGAAGCUCACGACAUAUAAGCCUUUUUAUUUCGAAGAACGAAGAUCCGAAUCAGAAAAAAAUAUCCUGAGAAAAAAAAAGAACAGCUUUGUCGUUUCUAUGAAUCAACUACUGAUCAUUGAACCAGCAGCAGCGCCACUUACCCACCACUAUGCUCUUUGCACACGACUUGAUCAAGCCAUCCAAACCCUGAUCCAGUAUUUUAAAAGCCGCACAAAAUCUAGAUCUAACAAAUGCUUACCUGAUAGAGGGAUGUGGAAUAGUCGAUCAUGACUUGGUUGUGGGCUGCUAUAACAUCCUGGAGCAUGAAUGGGAUCCAUUUGUACAGCAGUGAGGGAGGAUUUGCAAGCGAUCCAUGGUGCAUUGUUGCCAUGGCUAGAGAAGUGAAUGUUGCAGCUAUGCAUGCUGCAAUCAAGGAGGACUUCCAAGCACUUCACGAUACAGUGAAGGAACCACGGCAACAACGUCUUAUUUUAUGGCACUAUGGAUUGUUGGCAAAUCCUCCCUCACUGCCGCACGAAUGCCAGAGGCCAUCACCUGGAGAUUCUCAGUCACAGCUCCCAUUCUUGCACACAUGGCAGAUGCCAGCACCAGCACACAAGCUGUGGUCACGAUGCACAGCACACUAAUCGCAAUGGUGCUAACAAGCACUAUGGCAAUCAAAAACUCCAUUGGCAAGGUUUGCAGCAAAGCCUUUGCAAAAUCGAAAAUGAAAUCAAAUUUACAGUAGUUAUGAAAGACACAAAUGACACUCUUACCAGAAGUUCGAGCCGCCCGCCCUAUCUUCGCAAGAACCCACAGUCGCUUUAUCUUACGUACAAUGGGCCACUGGCCACUUUCUUGGUGGGCCGCCAUUCGUACAGUGGUCUGGCGGGAACUCGAGUUCCUAGUGGAUUCUCGCGAUUUCUAUCAGUACACGGGCUCAAUGACAAGAGGAGGAGGAAGAGGAGAAGGAUGGCGCUCCAUCUCCUCGACUUCUUUCGUCCUCAUGGCUUUCCAGGUAUAAAAAGAUUGAGAGUGAUCCUCAGACUGAUCUCGUGUUUGACAAUGUAGAUGGAUGUGUAAGGAAAAUGUUUCUUUUCUUCGUUAACUAAGACCUCGAGAAAUUUUUUACAAAGCUCACAUUUGCAGUGCCUCAGAGAAGCGUUCUCUCAGCCACUCCACCUUGAGCACCGACGAAUGCUGUUUCCCAAAAUAUGUCCGGAAGUUGUCGAUCAGUAUCCUAAGAUCGUGUGACACCGCCAUCACGCUACGAUAAUAGUUGUUCUCCAGCCGCUCGCGAAUCACGUCCAUGGAGAUUGGUAGCGCAAUCCUGCAUUGAUUGAAAACCUUUAGCUUCUUUCUCAAUCGCAAGAGAUUUUUCCAACUUGCCUGUCAAGAAAAUCCGGCUUGCUCACGGCCUGCUGCAACCUCCACAAGUCAUACUCGUCCUGUGAAAAGCAAACGCUCGUCAAGCCAAGACCAAAACCGAAACAUUCCUCGAGUCUAUGAUCGAUCGCACAAAAACAAACCUUGGAUUGGUUCGAGUGGAGCACCUCGUCCACGAUGUCGAGCAGCUCACGCACCUUGUCCUGCUCGAUCUGUGGCGACUCCCAAGUUAAAGGAUUCUCAACGUCGUGAAGCUCCCAGGGGCAGUGGUUCGUCGUCGAUGGCUCGUCCUUGUACAGCACAUUGAUGCUGUCCCUGGGGCUGUUUGGAAACUCGGGCGACUUUCCCUUCACCUGAGUUAUCGUCCCUUCCCACCAGCGACCACCUUCUUCCUCGUCCGACCUCCACCACACUUGGCACUUGUCCCGACUGGACCACUUCCUGGCCAUGGAGGCCUCGUAGCGGCUUCUCUCCACUAUAAAGUCGGCGAAGUCUGUCAGCUCCGGCAAGUCGACGCUGAAGCUGCUGCCGCGAAUCCUGUACCCGUCCAUAAACUCAAGAGUCAGCCGGCAACAAGUGUUCCCCGACACUUCGAGAAUGAUGUACUCCAGUCCGGUGAUCUCGCAGAAGUCGACCACUUGCAGUUCCCUUUUCACGCUUCUCCAGGGACCAUCGUCGUCGAGCCGCUUGUUGUCUAAGUAGUCUUGAUGUCCCUGCGAUCGACAGUUUCAAUUCAAACAUAAUUCAAGACGAGCUCGUUGGAUCUCUUACCUGUCGGAAGUACACCACCUCAUCACCAUACUGUGGGAUGUAGCGCGUCCGCUCCACCUCUGUCAAGAGUAACCAGGACACGUUGCUCGGACUCCGAUGCACCGUGCUCAGGUUUCUCCUCACGUGGAAAUCCUUGUACCUCGACCCAACGUUCUUCUGCAGCUUCACUUUAAGUCUGCUCGAAGUUCUUCUUUCGGGCUUUCGGCGUCCAUCGUCGUCGCUGCUUCUAUCCCAGUCCGAGUCGUCGUAAGACGAGCUAGCUUCCCAGUGUGAGGGACGGCCGACGUUUCUCCUGCUUCUUGUGGACCUGCUGUUGGAGAGACUAACCACGCGACCCUGCGCCAGCCGUGUACUUCUCCUGCGGCCACCUGAAGCGUGCUCGUCGGCCUCAUAACACUCGGUCUUAGUCGCAACUUUGCGAGGCCUUCUCCUUGAGUAGACGGCCUUGUUCAUAUUGCGCUUCAUUUGUAUAUCGUCCACGUCCAGGUCCUCACUUGCCUGCUCUUCCUCGGGCUUGUAAGCAUCCUCCAGCGACUCACUGUUACUG